rnacentral:lncRNA from 1 species
AUUGCAGAGGCUUCAGUUGGUGGUCAGCUGACUCCACUGUUUUCAGGCUUGUGGCAACCAGAGGCAUCGGCAACUCUGCUGGUGACUUCAGAGUUUGCCCUGGGAAUUUCUGAAGAUUGGAAUUUCUUCAUGCAGCCAGAAUCUAUCACUCAAGUGGUGACUACAACAUGUGCUCAGGAAAGUCCCGUGCACAAGACAAGGACAUCCAGUUCUGUUUUAAAACCAAGCUUGGAGUAGACCACACAGACAGCUCACCCACCCGCAUCGCCCCUGGAGCACGUCCAGCCUUCUGGUCCCUCGGUGGGUGCUUUUCUGUCUUCUAGGAAAGGAGACAAUCUAUAUGGAGAUCAGGAAGUCCCUAACGGCGCUGUAGUCUGACCUGAGUAGCUGACCUUGCAGGUUUAAACUCUUGAAGGAGCUGUUGGUUUUCAGUCAAGCCUCCGUCUAUAAUUUUAUCCACCAGUUUCCCAAUUAACUUCACUAAGAUGACCAGAGGUGUGUGCGUGUGUUGAAGUAAUAAUUAUCAGGCUGACUCAAUGCUGCCCUCAAGUGCUGUCUCAAAAUAUGAGAUCCGGAAGAAGAAAAGCAAGGCAAAGAGCCACUGAUCAUCAGAAAGGAAACGUGUCACCAAAAUCCACUGCACGUCUUGAAUUGCUCUUCCUGUUGCUAUUUAAAAGAGAUCAUAUUGCAAAAUAAAGU